GUUUUAAUAAUUUAAUAAUAAAAAUAUUGGUCUUGUAAAUCAAAAAUAAGGAUAUCUUUUAAAACU
rnacentral:tRNA from 1 species